ensembl:snoRNA predicted gene, 26293
CUCAAUGUUGUCAAUGAUGCAUUCUCAUUAAAAACUGAAUUUAAGUGAUAACAACUCAUUCGUCACUACCACUGAGACAACAUUUGAG